UACGUAGGGUGCGAGCGUUGUCCGGAAUUACUGGGCGUAAAGAGCUCGUAGGUGGUUUGUCGCGUUGUUCGUGAAAACUCACAGCUCAACUGUGGGCGUGCGGGCGAUACGGGCAGACUGGAGUACUGCAGGGGAGACUGGAAUUCCUGGUGUAGCGGUGGAAUGCGCAGAUAUCAGGAGGAACACCGAUGGCGAAGGCAGUGGUCUGGGCCGAUACUGACGCUGAGGAGCGAAAGCGUGGGGAGCGAACAGG
rnacentral:rRNA from 1 species